rnacentral:misc_RNA from 1 species
GAUGAAGAACGCAGCGAAAUGCGAUAAGUAAUGUGAAUUGCAGAAUUCAGUGAAUCAUCGAAUCUUUGAACGCACAUUGCGCCCGCCAGUAUUCUGGCGGGCAUGCCUGUUCGAGCGUCAUUACAACCCUCAGGCCCCCGGGCCUGGCGUUGGGGAUCGGCAGAAGCCCCCUGUGGGCACACGCCGUCCCUCAAAUCCAGUGGCGGUCCCGCCGCAGCUUCCAUUGCGUAGUAGCUAACACCUCGCAACUGGAGAGCGGCGCGGCCAUGCCGUAAAACACCCAACUUCUGAAUGUUGACCUCGAAUCAGGUAGGAAUACCCGCUGAACUUAAGCAUAUCAAUAAGCGGAGGA